UACGUAGGUCCCAGGCGUUGUCCGGAUUUAUUGGGCGUAAAGCGAGCGCAGGUGGUUUAUUAAGUCUGGUGUAAAAGGCAGUGGCUCAACCAUUGUAUGCAUUGGAAACUGGUAGACUUGAGUGCAGGAGAGGAGAGUGGAAUUCCAUGUGUAGCGGUGAAAUGCGUAGAUAUAUGGAGGAACACCGGUGGCGAAAGCGGCUCUCUGGCCUGUAACUGACACUGAGGCUCGAAAGCGUGGGGAGCAAACAGG
rnacentral:rRNA from 1 species